rnacentral:rRNA from 1 species
UCUAAGCACAUGCCUUAAUACGGUGAAGCCGCGAAUAGCUCAUUACAACAGCCAUCGUUUAUUAGAAUAUCGUUAUCUUACUUGGAUAACUGUGGCAAUUCUAGAGCUAAUACAUGCAAUAAAGCUCUGCCCGAAAGGAACGAGCGCAUUUAUUAGAAUAAAAACCAAUCGAGCUUCGGCUCGUAAUUUGGUGAAUCUGAAUAACUUUGCCAAUCGCACAGUCCUAGUACUGGCGAUGUAUCUUUCAAGUGUCUGCCUUAUCAACUUUCGAUGGUACGCUAUACGCCUACCAUGGUGUUAACGGGUAACGGAGAAUAAGGGUUCGACUCCGGAGAGGGAGCCUGAGAAACGGCUACCACAUCCAAGGAAGGCAGCAGGCGCGCAAAUUACCCACUUCCAGAACGGAGAGGUAGUGACGAAAAAUAACGAGACAGUCCUCUUCGAGGUCUGUCAUCGGAAUGGGUACAAUUUAAAUCCUUUAACGAGGAUCUAUUGGAGGGCAAGUCUGGUGCCAG